ensembl:snRNA U6 U6 spliceosomal RNA
GUACUCACUUCAGAAGCAUGCAUACAAUAUUGGAAUCAUACAAUAAAAAUUAGCAUGGCCACUGUACAAAGAUGACCCAAAUUCAUGAAGCAUUACAUUAUUUU